UACGAAGGGGGCUAGCGUUGCUCGGAAUCACUGGGCGUAAAGGGCGCGUAGGCGGACUCUUAAGUCGGGGGUGAAAGCCCAGGGCUCAACCCUGGAAUUGCCUUCGAUACUGAGAGUCUUGAGUUCGGAAGAGGUUGGUGGAACUGCGAGUGUAGAGGUGAAAUUCGUAGAUAUUCGCAAGAACACCAGUGGCGAAGGCGGCCAACUGGUCCGAUACUGACGCUGAGGCGCGAAAGCGUGGGGAGCAAACGGG
rnacentral:rRNA from 1 species